rnacentral:rRNA from 1 species
CCUACGGGAGGCAGCAGUGGGGAAUAUUGCGCAAUGGGCGAAAGCCUGACGCAGCGACGCAGCGUGAGGGAUGAAGGUCUUCGGAUCGUAAACCUCUGUCAGCAGGGAAGAACGGUCACUGUGCUAAUCAGAAGUGAAUUGAAGGUACCUGCAAAGGAAGCACCGGCUAAAUCCGUGCCAGCAGCUGCGGUAAUACGGAGGGUGCGAGCGUUAAUCGGAAGUACUGGGCGUAAAGCGCUCGUCGGCGGUAUGUCAAGUCAAGGGUGAAAUCCCCGCGUGCAACGUGGGAACUGCCUUUGAAACGGGCAAACUUGAUUGUAUGAGAGUAUAGUGGAAUUCCAGGUGUAGG